rnacentral:rRNA from 1 species
GACGAACGCUGGCGGCGUGCCUAAUACAUGCAAGUCGAGCGAAUCAGCAGGAGCUUGCUCCUGUUGGUUAGCGGCGGACGGGUGAGUAACACGUGGGCAACCUGCCUGUAAGACUGGGAUAACACCGGGAAACCGGUGCUAAUACCGGAUAAUCCUUUUCCUCUCAUGAGGAAAAGCUGAAAGUCGGUUUCGGCUGACACUUACAGAUGGGCCCGCGGCGCAUUAGCUAGUUGGUGAGGUAACGGCUCACCAAGGCGACGAUGCGUAGCCGACCGGAGAGGGUGAUCGGCCACACUGGGACUGAGACACGGCCCAGACUCCUACGGGAGGCAGCAGUAGGGAAUCUUCCACAAUGGGCGAAAGUCUGAUGGAGCAACGCCGCGUGAGCGAUGAAGGCCUUCGGGUCGUAAAGCUCUGUUGUUAGGGAAGAACAAGUACCGGAGUAACUGCCGGUACCUUGACGGUACCUAACCAGAAAGCCACGGCUAACUACGUGCCAGCCGCCGCUGUAAUAC